GUGGCUUCCGACAUCCGGCGGGGUCUUUACCUCUUGCUCCCUCCAGAGUUUGGGAUCCGUCUCUACUGUUCCGCGUCCUCCACCUCGGUAGCCCCUGGUGACUCUGUCACAGCCUCUGUUGACCUAUGAUCUGCAGGGAGACGCACAGCCAGGACAUCCUGGAACCUGGGAAAGGGGAAUCUUGACGUUUAGGUAUGUGGCCAUAGAAUUCUCUCUGGAGGAGUAGCAGUGCCUGGACACUGCACAGCAGAAUUUAUAGAGGAAUGUUAUGAAAACCUGGCCUUCCUGGGUAUUACUGUCUCUAAGCCAGUCCUGAUCACCUAUCUGGAGCAAGAAAAAGAGCCCUGGAAUAUGAAGUGACAUGAGAUGGUGGAUGAAUCCCCAGGUAUAUGCCCUCAUUUUGCUUAAGACCUCUGGCCAGAGCAGGGCAUGGAAGAUUCCUUUUAAAAAGUAAUACUGAGAAGACAUGAAAAAUGUGGACAUGAUAAUUUACUGUUGAGAAAUGGCUGUAAAAGUGUGGAUGAGUGUCAGGUGCACACAGAAGGUUAUAAUGGACUUAACAAGUGUUUCACAACUACUCAGCAAAGUAUUUCAAUGUGGUAAAUGUUUGAAAGUCCUUUAUAAAUUUUUGAAUUCAAACAAAAAAUAAGAUAUACUGGAAGAAAACCUUUCAAAUGUCAAAAAUGUGUCAAAUCAUUUUGCAUGCUUUCACACAAAACCCAACAUAAAAGCAUUUAUACUAGAGAGAAGUCCUACAAAUGUAAAAAAUGUGGAAAAACCUUUAAUUGGUCCUCAAUCCUUACUAAUAAUAAGAAAAAUCAUACUGAACAGAAACCUUACAAAUGUGAAGAAUGUGGCAAAGCUUUUAAGCAACACUCAACCCUUACUACACAUAAAAUAAUUUGUGCUGAAGAAAAACUUUACAGAUGUGAAGAAUGUGGCAAAGCAUUUUGCCAGCCCUCAACCCUAACUAGAUAUAAGAGGAUGUACAGAAGAAAGAAACUCUACAAAUGUGAAGAAUGUGGCAAAGCGUUUACCCAAUUCUCAACCCUUACUAAACAUAAGAGAAUUCACACUAGAGGGAAACGUUACAAGUGUGAAGAAAGUGGCAAAGCAUUUAUCUGGUCCUCAGGCCUUACUGAACAUAGGAGGGUUCCUACUAGACAGAAACCCUACAAAUGUGAAGAAUGUGGCAAAGCAUUAAUUCAAUUCUCAACCCUAACUAGACAUAAGAGGAUACACACUGGAGAGAAACCCAACAAAUGUGAAGUAUGUGGCAAACCUUUUAGCCAAAACUCAAACCUUACUAUAUAUAAGAUAAUUCAUACUGAAAAGAAACCCUACAAAUGUCAAGAAUGUGGCAAUGCUUUUAGCCAGUCCCCAUACCUUACUACACAUAAGGUAAUUCAUACUGGGAGAGACCCUACAAAUGUGAAGAAGGUGGCAAAGCAUUUCUGUGGUUCAUUACCCUAACUGGUCAUAAGAGGAUGCACACUAGAGAGAAACCCUACAAAUGUGAAGAAUAUGAAAAAGCUUUCAGCCAGUCCUCAACCCUUACUACACAUAAGAGAAUUCAUACUGGAGAGAAACCCUACAAAUGUGAGGAACGUGGCAAAUCUUUUAACCUGUCUAAAAGCUUUACUAAACAUAAGGUAAUUCAUAGUGGAGUAAAACCCUACAAGUGUGAAGAAUGUGGCAAAGCCUUUAGGCAGUCUUCAGUUUUUGCUAACCAUAAGAGAAUUCAUACUGGAAAGAAACCCUACAAAUGUGAAGAAUGUGGCAAAUCUUUUAACCUGUCUUCAAGCUGUACUAAAUGUAAUUCUUACUGGUUUAAAACCCUACAAAUGGGAAGAAUGUGCCAAUGCCUUUUCCUGGUCCUCAGCCCUAACUAAACAUAAGAAAAUUUAUACUUGAAAGCAACCCUACAAAUGGGAAAAAUUUGGCAAAGCCUUUAAUCCUUACAACUUAAUACACACAAGAUAACUUAUAUUGAAGAGAAAUAUUACAAGUGUGAAUAAUGUGUCAAAGCCUAUAAAAAGUCCUCAAUUCUUUACAGACAUAAGGUUAUUUAUACUGGAGAGAAACUUUACAAACCUGAAAGAUGUGCCAAUGCUUUUGACAACAACUCAAGCUUCUCUAAACAUAAAGAAAAUCAUGCUGCUGAGAAUCCUAGAACUGUGAAGAAUGUGACAAAGCCUUUAAAUGAUUGUCACACUUGAUUGUAGUCCACCAGGGUCAGUGGCAAAGUGGUGUCAUGAAUAGGGACUUCGAGGAAGUGAACGAGGAAGAUCUGCUGGAGCACAGGAAGUGAAAUAGACAAGAUGAAUGGGGACCCCAGGACAAAUAUGCUGGCAGUGGAUAUAAGGAGAUGGACAAACCAUGUGGGUGCCCUCAAGGUGCGUGCAACCAUGGAAUGGAAGACUGGAGGAACCCAUGGUGGCCAACCAUGGGCCUGGUCCCUCUGGUAUGGGCCAUGAGCCAGCUGAGCCUGAGUGCAAAAAUGGACAGAAGGCCAACUGGAGUCAUGAUGACAUCAACCCCUAUAACCUGGGGGACACUCAAGAAAACCACGCAGGAAGCUGAGAAACUACUGGAGCGUCAAGGCCAGAAAAAACCCCUGAUUCCAUGUUCUUGGCCAUGUUAGCUAUAAUGCCCUGUGUGGUAGGUUUUCCCUUGCAGAGUCAAAAACAUAUUGAGCAUAGGUUCCCAAUCCUCCAGCAGUACAACCUGUACUUUGGAGUGACACUCCUCCUGAGAUCUAUCGUGAUCAGACAGCAUGGGCUCCAGGACCCCUAUGUCCGGCUUCUCCGGACAUAGAACAGUUAGACUCUCAGAACAAUGUCAUCAAUUAUACUACCCCACUGGAAGGACUCCCCUUGUGUAUUACUACAAAGAUGUCGCUCAACCAUAGCUGUCUUACAACUGAAGCUCAAGCAUGGUUGAGUCACCUUGGAAAAGUUAUGUACUUAAUAGGUCUUGGUUCUAUUUAUGUAACUGGUGUGCUAACCAACCAUGCCUGGCCCAAUUGCCCCAACUGUGCUGACUAUAUGGAAUGGAUUCCCUUCAAUAGUUCUGACCUCUCUCCAUUGACCCAGUGUCUUGGCCCACUGGGUAGAAAAGAAUCUGUGUUAACUGGAGACAUUGUGGAUUGGGGAACUAAAGGUCAACUAGAUGGAAAAGAUGAAAAUCAGAAAUCAUGACACAAACUUCACUGCCAUUGGUGGCAAGCUUUGAAUAUUCCUUCUUUAUACCACACUGGGAUCCAAUCCCAGUCUGCCACCUGGAUUGCUUGGCAUGGAGCAGGCUUUAGCACACCUCUUCCUCAGUGGCAUUAUCUGGGGAGGAAAGGUCCAAUUCAAGAAACAAUAUGGAAAGCAGCACUGCUGUUCACAAAUGGUAGUAUCUGGGUAGGAACACUUUCUAAUGCCAGUACUGCUACUCAACACAGUCUUAAUGUUACAUUUGUGAAGAAUAUCACCACUCAAUUUAUGGUUUGUGGUUUUAAUCCUUAUGUCUUUUUGGCAGCUAAGGCGGACCAGCUCUAGGUAAGCAAUACUCAAUUGACCUUAAAUCUUGCCGGUUAUGUCACUUCAUUAAUCAUAGCACAUUGCAAACAUGUAAUAUCUCUACUUCGAUAUUUGGGUCACAUUCCUGGGCUAUGGAUUCUCAUUAAUCUGUCUGAGACUUGUGAUGCCACCCCUGUUUGGCACUUUGUGAAACUUCUUCUAACUAAACUUACUCAUCGUGCCUGUAGAGCCUCAGGCAUGAUAAUUUUUGCUAUUGUUUCUUUGGUCACACUAAUCACUUCUGCUGUAAUGUCCUCUGUAGCUUUGCAUAGUUCUGUUCAAAUGGCUCAGUAUGUAGAGGACUGGAAGCAUGCAGCCAACUAAGCGUGGCUACUUCAGAGUAAAAUUAACACUGAGUUACAAACUGAAGUGGUAAUGUUAAAAUCUAUGGUUCUGUGGUUAGGGGAACAAGUACAAAGCUUACAGUUGCAACAGCAAUUGCACUGUCAUUUUAAUCACACUCAUAUUUGUGUAACCAACUUAGAAUAUAACCAAAGAGUAUCCAUGGGACCUUGUAAAAGCCCAUUUGCAGGGAGCUUUCACAUCCAACAUCACCUUUGACAUUGGUGAAUUACAAAAAAAAGUUCUUGAUUUAAAUAAGCAAACUCAAGAGUUUUAGCCUUCUUUAGAAGCCUGGACUGAAUUCCAGCAAGGCCUGAAGAGCCUCAAUCCUUGGAACUAUCUAAAGUACCACAUUAACAUCUCAUAUAUAGUUCUGGGAAUAAUGUUGUUCUGUCUCUGUUUCCUGCUCACAGCCUGUAAAAUCAGAUGGAUUGCCAAUCAGAAAAUAAAGCUGCCCAACCUGGCCUUACAUUCAUUCAAUUAAUGCAAAAACAGAAAGGGAGAGAUGUUGGGAGCCAGAAGCCUGAGGAUUGUGACCAACACAGCAUUCCACUGGAGGCUAUAUGAUCAAAGAGCAAACUGUUUAUCAUGAAUGUAGAAUGUGGGCAAACUCACAUCUGCACCUGACACUGGAAGGUAUGCUAAGGGGAGCCACUCCCUGGUGCCGUGCUCCUUGAGAUUAUCUACUGGGACAUCUGGGGCCUACUGUUUAAAGAAUGCUGUCAUGCAGGCCUACACUAAGUCAAGCAGCUGACUGACAAUCACCCCCUUCUCCCUAUCUCCUUUACUCAAUAAAUAUAAAGGGCUCUAGAACUCAGGGCCCUUGUUCACUAGAAGCAAGGAGCCCCCUGACUCCUUCUUCCAAAUAAACUUUUUUGUCUUUGUCUUUA